rnacentral:rRNA from 1 species
UACGUAGGGUGCGAGCGUUAAUCGGAAUUACUGGGCGUAAAGCGUGCGCAGGCGGUUAUGCAAGCCAGACGUGAAAGCCCCGGGCUUAACCUGGGAAUGGCGUUUGGGACUGCAUGGCUAGAGGACGUCAGAGGGGGGUGGAAUUCCACGUGUAGCAGUGAAAUGCGUAGAGAUGUGGAGGAACACCGAUGGCGAAGGCAGCCCCCUGGGAUGAUACUGACGCUCAGGCACGAAAGCGUGGGGAGCAAACAGG